rnacentral:rRNA from 1 species
UACGUGGGGUGCAAGCGUUAAUCGGAAUUACUGGGCGUAAAGCGUGCGCAGGCGGUUAUGCAAGACAGAUGUGAAAUCCCCGGGCUCAACCUGGGAACUGCAUUUGUGACUGCAUGGCUAGAGUACGGUAGAGGGGGAUGGAAUUCCGCGUGUAGCAGUGAAAUGCGUAGAUAUGCGGAGGAACACCGAUGGCGAAGGCAAUCCCCUGGACCUGUACUGACGCUCAUGCACGAAAGCGUGGGGAGCAAACAGG